rnacentral:Y_RNA from 1 species
GACUGGUCCGAGUGCAGUGGUGUUUACAACUAAUUGAUCACAACCAGUUACAGAUUUCUUUGUUCCUUCUCCACUCCCACUGCUUCACUUGACUAGCCUUUA